GACGAACGCUGGCGGCGUGCUUAACACAUGCAAGUCGAACGAUGAAGGAGAGCUUGCUCUCCGGAUUAGUGGCGAACGGGUGAGUAACACGUGACUAACCUGCCCCUUUCUCUGGGAUAACGCUCCGAAAGGAGUGCUAAUACCGGAUACGAACUCUGAACACAUGUUCGGAGUUGGAAAGUUUUUCGGAAAGGGAUGGAGUCGCGGCCUAUCAGCUUGUUGGUGAGGUAAUGGCUCACCAAGGCGACGACGGGUAGCCGGCCUGGGAGGGCGACCGGCCACACUGGGACUGGGACACGGCCCAGACUCCUACGGGAGGCAGCAGUGGGGAAUAUUGCACAAUGGGCGAAAGCCUGAUGCAGCGACGCCGCGUGAGGGAUGAAGGUCUUCGGAUUGUAAACCUCUUUCAGUAGGGACGAAGCGAAAGUGACGGUACCUAAAGAAGAAGCACCGGCUAACUACGUGCCAGCCGCCGCAGUAA
rnacentral:rRNA from 1 species